rnacentral:rRNA from 1 species
CCUACGGGCGGCAGCAGUGAGGAAUAUUGGGCAAUGGCCGUAAGGCUGAACGAGCCAAGUAGCGUGAGGGAAGACUGCCCUAUGGGUUGUAAACCUCUUUUAUGCGGGGAUAAAGGUGUCCACGUAUGGAUGUUUGCAGUUACCGCAUGAAUGAGGAUCGGCUAACUCCGUUCCAGCAGCCGCGGUAAUAUGGAGGAUCCGAGCGUUAUCCGGAUUUAUUGGGUUUAAAGGGAGCGUAGAUGGGUUGUUAAGUCAGUUGUGAAAGUUUGCGGCUCAACCGUAAAAUUGCAAUUGAUACUGGAAGUCUUGAGUACAGUAGAGGUAGGCGGAAUUCGUGGUGUAGCGGUGAAAUGCUCAGAGAUCACGAAGAACCCCGAUUGCGAAGGCAGCUUACUAAACUGUGACUGACAUUGAUGCUCGAAAGUGUGGGUAUCAAACAGGAUUAGAUACCCUUGUAGUC